CUCCGGUUGAUCCCGCCGGACCCGACUGCUAUCAGAGUGGGACUAAGCCAUGCGAGUCAACGUAGCAAUACGUGGCAUACGGCUCAGUAACACGUAGUCAACAUGCCCAGGGGACGAGGAUAACCUCGGGAAACUGAGGAUAAACCUCGAUAGGCCAUGAUUUCUGGAAUGAUUCUUGGCUCAAACCUAUAUGGCCCCUGGAUUGGACUGCGGCCGAUCAGGCUGUUGGUGAGGUAAUGGCCCACCAAACCUAUUACCGGUACGGGCUCUGAGAGGAGGAGCCCGGAGAUGGGCACUGAGACAAGGGCCCAGGCCCUAUGGGGCGCAGCAGGCGCGAAACCUCUGCAAUAGGCGAAAGCUUGACAGGGUUACUCUGAGUGAUUUCCGCUAAGGGAAUCUUUUGGCACCUCUAAAAAUGGUGCAGAAUAAGGGGUGGGCAAGUCUGGUGUCAGCCGCCGCGGUAAUACCAGCACCCCGAGUGGUCGGGACGAUUAUUGGGCCUAAAGCAUCCGUAGCCGGUCCUGCAAGUCUUCCGUUAAAUCCAGCUGCUCAACAGAUGGGCUGCGGGAGAUACUACAGGGCUAGGAGGCGGGAGAGGCAAGCGGUACUUUAUGGGUAGGGGUAAAAUCCGCUGAUCCAUAGAAGACCACCAGUGGCGAAGGCGGCUUGCCAGAAUGCGCUCGACGGUGAGGGAUGAAAGCUGGGGGAGCAAACCGGAUUAGAUACCCGGGUAGUCCCAGCCGUAAACGAUGCAGACUCGGUGAUGGGUUGGCUUCGCGCUAACCCAGUGCCGCAGGGAAGCCGUUAAGUCUGCCGCCUGGGUAGUACGGUCGCAAGACUGAAACUUAAAGGAUUGGCGGGGGAGCA
rnacentral:rRNA from 1 species